rnacentral:lncRNA from 1 species
GAUGGGGUGGCUGCGGGAUGGGCCUUCUCCCCAGCAGCCCUUCGAAGAUACUGCUAUACUUCCGGUUGGCUCUUCAUCAGCCCCUAACCCUGGGGGUUGGGCGUUUGCUCUCUGCUGGGAAAGUUGGUUCAUUUCACAUUCAUUUCCUGGGCAUCUACCAUGCGCCAGGCACAGGGCAUCCAAUGGUCUUGCUCCCAAGUGGUGUUCUGUCCAGGGAAGCAGGCAAUGCCAGCCCAGCAGGAUUGACGUGAAGAGGGGGAAACUUGGGGCACCUGUCCCAGGAUUGGGGGCAGAAAAAGCCUCUGAGAGAGGGAUGUCUAUGUGGCGUCCCGAAGGAUGCAGCAGCCGGGUAGGUGAGCAGGGUGCCGGGGAGCCAGGGCGUGCGUGUGUUGGGGAGACAGAGGGAGACAGGGAGAGGGACAGAGGUUGAAGGCAGAAGCUCUUGAGGAGGAAACCAUGGGAGCGGGUGAGCUGUCCUGGAGUGCAGAUCCGGAGGGGCUAGGUCCUGGGCACGGGGACAGAUUGGUCCUCACUGCCCUCCCAACAGAUGAGGCGGCGAGGCUCAUAUGGCUGUGGCUGGAUAGAGGAGGGGGCGACCCCGGCCCUGACCAUGGGGGCUGGCUCCAGGACAGCCCCUCCUCCCUGCAAGCCAUAAUUCCUGAACCAAAUCUGGGGGCCCUGGAGUACAGUGGUCAUCUCCAGGGCAUGGCUAGCUGCCUGUCUCUGGAGACUCCCAAGGAGAGCUGCUUGACCUUGAGGAUGGCCAUGCAGAGAGGAUGCCUGGGGGCCGUGCAGGGACCCCUUGGAGGGGCCAGGGCACAGCUGACCUGCCUCCCAGUCCUUCCUGGGUGAGGGCUUCUCCGUGGCUGCAGGGACCAGCACAGGGCUCUCUGUUUACUCCAGGACAGGUCCAGGCCACUUUGGGCUCAGCAUGCAGACCCCAGAGAGCCCAGGCCUUGGCGUGGUCCAGGCUGUGGUGUGGUUGGUGCUGUGGGGUCUCUCGCUCCUGCAGACUUGGCUCCAGUCCCAGCUGUGACAGCGCCACAGAUGCCACCCAGUGGCAUCUGGUCUGAAAAGGAAUCUAGUCUUGCCAGUCCUGCAGGGCUCUGCUUCUAGUGCCCUAGAAAUCCAAAGGGAGCGCUAGUCUGGACUGUUCCGAGACACUAGGUGGAAAUGAGCCAACUCUGCUUGUCCCCAGAGGCCUAUGCAUUUAGAUGCACAGAGGCCUGGAAAGUUCUUUAGCUGAACAUUGGAAAACAGCUUACGUCAUCCCCCCGCACCCGCCCCAAGAAGCUGUCAGGAAAUCCCCUUGUUCCUGGGUGAGAACCCGGCCUUCAGGAGUGGUGACCUUGAGAGGGUGCCACCCUUGGCUCCCAUUAGGAGCCCUGCAGCAUGGCACCCUUCAAGGGGCAGCCAUCCCUGGGGUGUGAUCAGAGGGGAGGCACCUGGCCCUGCCUGCCUGCUGAGCCACUCCUGCCUGCCGGUGCCUCCCGCCUGCCAGUGCUGUGUGGGUGUUCUGCCCUUCUCCCUCCUCCUCCCGCUCUGCCCAGGUGCCCUGCACAUGUAUGCCCGCACACCCAAGCACGGUUGAGCACGUGUGUGUUGGCAGACACAGGUGUCCCUACACACCAUGCAUCCACACACAUUUGCACACCUGUGCACGUUGGCCUGCCUGCCUCUGCAGACACAUGCACACUUUCGCAGCACAUCUGCACAUCUGCAUACCACACACCAUUCAACCUGAACACCUGCACAGGGGCAUUUGCACACACGCUUACAUGCCUGCAUCACAGCAGACUUGUACACAUGAACACCUGCUCGUUCACACCCACACACAGCGGCAUACACCUCUGCCUCAGUCUCCCAGUGGCUGCCCUCUCCCUGGCCCUCUCCACCUGGGAGCCACCCCUGGAAGGGGCUGGCCUUGUGUCCCGUAUCUCUGGCUGUCUAUCUCUCCCAUGCAGGAGGCUUCGUGCAGACAGCCAGACAUCUCAGCUCGAGGUGGCCGCAGCUGUGCAGACACAGCAGAGGGGCGAGGCUGAGAGGAGACCACAUGCUUGCUCAGGGUCCCUGAAGCUCCUGCCCCCAGAGAGUGGUGGAGCCGUGUGUGUGUGUGUGUGUGUGUGUGUGAGGUGGCUUGGGGGGAGGGGUGCAAGAGGCCACCUCCCCUGGUCUCUUCAGUCUCCAAGACAGAACGAGGCCUCCUGCUCCAGGAGAAGGGAAAGCCAUGUCCUGCUGGUGCACAAAUGGGCUCCCAGGUGCUCUUCCUCUGGCCUCAGCCUCUCUCUUCUUUGGGUCCUGUAAACAGAAUUUGGAGGACAGUGGCCCCUCAGAUGAGCCCUGACCUGCUCUACAGGGCUUACCCCUUGACCCUGGGCACCGUGCAAAUUGGCAUGCAAUGGUGCCCCUGGAGUCGCACCGUGUGGGGUUGGCGCAGGAGGCAGCAGCCCUGCCCAUCUAGCAGCUUUGGCCUGUCAGCCCAGCUCCGCCUCUGCCACAGGGAGGAGGCCAGGGUGGAGUUACAGGCACCUGGCAGGUCUGGCUGGGCCACCACUGCACCCUGUCUGUGGAGUCCGAGUGGUUGUGGCACCAGGGGGACGGCCUGGCUGAGUAACAAUGCUGACCAGGGGACACACGUCUCUGCUGUGUGCCCCGCAUGGCUCCAGGCGUGUUCCUGGCGGAAUCUGAUGCAGUGAUUCAGAGACAGUCUACCACUACCCCGGCCAUGUCAGGUGAGCCCUGGCCACACAGCUAAGAAGCAGCAAGCAGGUUUGAUCUGAUCUGCACUCAGGCAGGCUCUAGGACCGCAGUCCAACCACUGGCCGUCCAGCCGCUCACGGAGACUCGAUGCUUGCAGGCAUUGCUCCCCUCUGUUUUCCAGGGACACAACUGCCAGCAGCCCCCUCUCCUCAAGGGCACUUGACCCAGACACUUUGCCUUGGCGGUGGGCAGCCAAGGAACCAUUUCUCUCCUGGGAAGGGGCCUGGGUUCUCCAGCUCGAUCCUUCUCAGAGAUGGUCCUGUGGGUAGAGGGAGGUGGCCAGGAAGGUCAGUUCAAGAUGGAUAGGGGAGGGGCAUGGAUGGAGGCCUGUUAGAGCUUUCUGAAGCACCCAGCCUAGCUGGGGUGCUGGGGAGUCCUUAGCUGGCCUCUGCGGGCUCUUCUGUAGAGCCUGUGUCCAGGUGGGCGGGAGGAGUCAGUGCUGGCCUGAGUUCCUGGGGUGACCAGGCCUGGAACCUACCCUCCUGGGACGCCAGGCCUCUUCCCCUCCACCUGGGACCUCAAGUUCUCACCUUCAAGGCAGAGGAGACAAUCCAUUGUCCCUGUCUCUAGCAUGGCUCCAACAGAGGCCAGCAGAGGCCUGGCACCUACCUGGCCUCCUACGGCCCUGACCUCACUGCUGCGGUGAGGCCAGACCCCCACCAUCUCCCCCCUCUGUGUUCAGGAGGGAAGCGGGAGGCUCAUCUCCCAGCCCCCAGCUGCUCCCAAGCCCUGCUGCCCGCGGGUGGCCCUCGGCCCUCGGGACCCUUCAGCAGUGAAGUUCCCGGGAAGAAGAACCUCACAGCGAACAAAUUGCUGCCCGGCAGACCCGUUCCUUCUGAGCCUCAUUUUCCCUCCUUUCAUGCCAACUUUCCCACUAUUAAGAGCAUUUUGAAAGAGAAGAUGAAAAGAGAGAGAGAGAGAAAGAGGGAAGAGAGGGCGAGGGACACCUGGGAUCCCCCAGCGCCUGCUGCUGCGAGCCGAGAAGAAGGGGAGGACGCGGAGGGGGCUUUCCCGUCACCCCUCCUGGGGGCUGAGUCAGGGCAGCAGGGGAGGUGAGCGACAGGCAUCUGGCCGGCCCUGCAGCCCCGGGCUGCCCCUCCCUGGCCUCUGGCCUGUGCCUGGCACCUGUUGGUACUUACUCAAUAAUUUCUUGUUGAAUGAAAAAAAAAUAAUCAACAGAUGGAGGGUGGCUGCAGUCUCCUGGGGGAGGGGGGCGCCACACCUCCUCCAUGGGGUUCUAAGGCCAAGACAAACAGACUCAGCCAGGGGGCAACUAAGUCAUGCCGGAAGAAUAUGGUGAGCCGCUGACAUCGGUGCAUGCAGUGACGGAGGCAGCGCCAGUGUCACAGGAGCUGGGAGUGAGCUGCCUGCUGGGUCCAGCUGAGGAAAUUCAGGAACUUGCCGAGAAGAUUCGAUGGGAUGGUGCCUAUGGGAUGGAGGGGAGAAACGGCAGGUGUGUGAAGGGUGGACUGGAGGCCCGGCCAGCGGAGUGACCCCUGGAAAGUCACCGUGACUCCUGUGAGGGAGACCCAGGGAGGAAAGGAAACGGGCUGUCAGUGGGUGAGAUGGGGAAGGAGCGACAGCAGGCUCCCCUUACCAGGCAUUCUGGAACUCUCUAGAACUCGCCCGGGCCAGGAAGGGCUGGGGUGGGGACGUGACAGCAAGGGGGCAGGAGGGAGUUUGGGGGCACAUGAAAAUGAGGGAGUGUGGAUGUAGUCUCACAACCACGUCCAGGUGUCAAAAUCCCUCAAAUAGACCCCUAAAGCUGGUGGGUGUAUGGCAUGUCAGUUGUGCCUCAGAGAAACUGUGGUUUUUGAGAAGCGACCACUGACUGCAGCCCUCUGUUCCAGGCAUGAGCCGAGCUGUCAACACAGGGUGUCGGUAUUCACAUUGAUGUCAAUGUUUAUAGCAGCACAAUUCACAAUAGCUAAACUGUGGAGCCAACCUAGAUGUCCUUCAGUGGAUGAAUGGAUUAAAACAAUGUGGCAUUUAUACACAAUGGAAUAUUACUCAGCAAUAAAAAAAAAUAAGAUCAUGGCAUUUGCAGGGAAGUGGAUGGCAUUAGAGCAGAUUAUGCUAAGUGAAGUUAGCCAAUCCCCCCAAAAAACAAAUGCUGAAUGUCUUUUCUGAUAUAAGGGGAGUGACUCAAAAUGGGAUUGGGAGGGAGAG